CGUAGGGUGCAAGCGUUAGUCGGAAUUACUGGGCGUAAAGCGUGCGCAGGCGGUUAUAUAAGACAGAUGUGAAAUCCCCGGGCUCAACCUGGGAACUGCAUUUGUGACUGUAUAGCUAGAGUACGGUAGAGGGGGAUGGAAUUCCGCGUGUAGCAGUGAAAUGCGUAGACAUGCGGAGGAACACCGAUGGCGAAGGCAAUCCCCUGGACCUGUACUGACGCUCAUGCACGAAAGCGUGGGGAGCAAACAGGAUUAGAUACCCUGGUAGUCCACGCCCUAAACGAUGUCAACUGGUUGUUGGGUCUUCACUGACUCAGUAACGAAGCUAACGCGUGAAGUUGACCGCCUGGGGAGUACGGCCGCAAGGUUG
rnacentral:rRNA from 1 species